rnacentral:lncRNA from 1 species
UGUAAGGAGAAUAGUACAAUGCGAAAGACGUCGAGUCGAAGUAGGGAAGUCAUCGGAAUCCACCAGCCUGAAGAACUGGAAUCCACCAGAAGUUGAGAAGAAGACAAGAAAGAACGAGAUCCGAAAAGGAAGAAGAAGAAAUGAAUGCCUGAAGAAUAUCUGGGAAAAAAUGAACUGCCUCCUUCUUCUUGCGCUCUCCGUUUUAUAGAGGCUUGAAGUUCGUUAGUCGGUUACAGAAGUAGUAACUGACUUAUUCUUGCUGGCUCCUGCAUCAGGCGUCUCCUCUUCAGAAUCAAUCGUCCUCGAAUGACUGUAACUUGGCUCUUCCUCAGCUGGAUAGUACUUCCGUAAAUCUGAAACACUGAAAGUACUUGAAAUAUUGAAUUCUGCUGGUAAGUCUACAAUGUACGUAUUGUCAUUUAUUUUUCACAUCACUUGGCAUGGGCCGAAAUUGCGAUUUCUCAACUUAGAGUAACUUAUGGUGGGAAAUCUUUCUUUUCUUAAGUGUACCAUUACGUUUUCGCCGACUGUAAACUUUAUUUCUCUUCUCCGACGAUCCGUUGUUUCUUUAUAAUU